UGGAGUGGUGCUCAGUGGUAGAGCACUUGCCUUUUAUGCUUGAAGCCCUGGGUUCAAUCCCUAGCACCACAA
rnacentral:tRNA from 1 species